AACGAAGGGGAUAUAGACCAUCUCGUGGCUCGUCUGAAGGCAUAUGGCCCAAUCACAGCGAAGCGCCUGUGCUACGUCAAGAAAAGGGAUGCGCAUCAGCGUUACGCGGUGUCUUCUGCUCCUUAUUCAGAGCGGUAUCAACACGUGCAAGCAUUGGA